rnacentral:rRNA from 1 species
GUGUCAGCAGCCGCGGUAAGACGAACCUUGCUAACGUUAUUCGGAAUUACUGGGCUUAAAGGGUGCGUAGGCGGUGCGGAAAGUUGGGUGUGAAAGCCCUCGGCUCAACCGAGGAAUUGCGCCCAAAACUGCCGCACUAGAGGAAGACAGAGGUACGCGGAACUUAGGGUGGAGCGGUGAAAUGCGUUGAUAUCCUAAGGAACACCGGUGGCGAAAGCGGCGUACUGGGUCUUAUCUGACGCUGAGGCACGAAAGCUAGGGGAGCGAACGGGAUUAGAAACCCCUGUAGUCC